rnacentral:lncRNA from 1 species
ACGGCUGUGAGGAAGUUUGCACUCACAGAUCCCCACAGGCACGGGGCAUUUUAAGCCCCACCAUGCCAGAAAGACCAGGGAUGGUCAGGAAACAAGGAUGUGGGCACCGUGUGGCUGGGACCUUUACUGGGAUUUACGAGGGAAGGAAUAAGCCAGGCAGGGGAAAAUCUAAAAUUGGAUCAAAAAGAAACAGAACUGUGAGCUUCCGACAGUUCUUCUUGUGAUUGGAUUACUAAAUAUUAUUAUUUCUAUUCAUAGUUUACAUUGCUGCUGAUAGAGCUGUUAUUACCGGAAAACAAAAACACAACAAAAACCCUUUGAAAUCUUCUUCGGCAAAUUCUCUCAAUAGAUACCUGGGCUGUCUGUCUGGCUGCUACUUGGCUUCACUUCACAAUAUCCUCUGAAGAGUGACUCACCAAGACCAUCAUUUUAAAAGAUAAAAUAGAAUGUCUUCUUACAUUGGAAGAAGGAAAUGUUUGUCUCUCAAAGUUGCUUUCUAUACGGGCAAAGUAGCUACAUCUAGUGUUUGAAGUAUCAGACAGGAUUAGGAAAUGAAUAACUUUUUAUCCAUACAAGAGAGAAUGUGAUUGUGAACAGCUUCACAAUGCUUGAUUUUCAGCAGUUUAAAUGGAAUCUAAAUUGCAUGCAAUAAAUCAGUGACAUCUUUGAUUCAUUAUAGAUAAUCAAGAGGAA